UUUGCGACAUGGACAUUAAUUAAGAAAUAUGUGAAGUAAAUAAUUGUUAAGAUUUGACCUGUUAUAAUAUAAGGUUCUUCAACAGGUCGUUUACCAAUUCAUGUUAGUAAGCAUACAACAACUACUAUAAUUCAGAAUAAAAUUUGAUUAAUAGGGUAAAAUUGAAUGCCUCGGAAUGGUGUUUUAUUAUAAAAUGGUAAAAUUAUUAAGAUUCUAAUUGAUAAAAAUAAUGCAAUAACACCUCCUAACUUAUUAGGGAUAGAUCGUAGAAUUGCAUAUGCAAAUAGGAAAUAUCAUUCUGGUUGAAUGUGAACUGGUGUUACUAAUGGGUUGGCAGGUACAAAGUUAUCUGGAUCUCCUAAUAGGUAAGGAUUAAUUAAACAUAGUAUAAUUAAUAAUGAUGUUAUUAUUACAAAUGUAAUAGAAUCCUUAAAGGUAAAGUAUGGAUGGAAUGGAAUUUUUUCAAUAUCUCCAUUUAGUCCAAGAGGAUUAUUAGAUCCUGUUUGGUGAAGAAAAAAUAAAUGAAUUGCUGCUAUAGCAGCAAUAAUAAA